UCAUCACUCCCUACAGCUAUCUGAAGGGAGGUUGUGGCAUGGUGGGGAUUGGCCUCUUCUCCCAGUUUCUCAAGAUUGUGGCCGCUGAGGCAAGCAUGCAUCACAAAGAACACUGCUGAGAUAUCGGAGAAGGACAGCUACAAGGUCAGGGGAUUUGAUCAGAACAUCCAUCAAUCUUCUGUAUUGUGCUUUGAUAUGACUACAGUAAAUCUCUGCUUCAUAAGGCUAAGCCUAGAGCCUUAAGCUAUCCAGAAGCUUUGUCUCAGUUGUCACACAUCCUCAGAUGACCAUCCUACCAAAUGACCUCUUUUGUGGAUGGAAGUAAGUGGACUAGAGAGCCUCUGAUAAAAG
ensembl:lncRNA